UACGGGGGGGGCAAGCGUUGUUCGGAAUUACUGGGCGUAAAGGGCUCGUAGGCGGCCAACUAAGUCAGACGUGAAAUCCCUCGGCUUAACCGGGGAACUGCAUCUGAUACUGGAUGGCUUGAGUUCGGGAGAGGGAUGUGGAAUUCCAGGUGUAGCGGUGAAAUGCGUAGAUAUCUGGAGGAACACCGGUGGCGAAGGCGGCAUCCUGGACCAAUUCUGACGCUGAGGAGCGAAAGCCAGGGGAGCAAACGGG
rnacentral:rRNA from 1 species